rnacentral:sRNA from 1 species
ACUCAUUGAUGGCACAUUAUUCUAGUCAUCUUAAUUAUUAUGGAGACGGGGCUAAAAAUCCGUUGAAGAGCAUAUAUUUCACCUUUUGGUUUUUGCUUCAUACGCCCAGUUUGGGGUGAUAGCUGAAAGGAAUAAAUAAUUGGGCUCUCAUAAUGGCAUAUGAGAUAAGUACCAAUUAUUUGGAACAUCUAUUUACUAGAUAAACCUACUAUGUGGCGCAAAGUUACGAGUAGUGUAGCUUGUCUUGAGUGAAUAUUGGGAAUAAUUGAAAUAUUUUAAAUGUAUGUGGCCGCAUAUAUUUAAUCUAUAAUUUGAAACAAUAUUUGCAAAAAAGAAUAAAUAAUAAUUAAAAUGCUUGAGGAAAACUCCUAGAAAUGUGUAUAUAUAAGGAUUGCAGUGUGAGCUAAGUGGUAAUCAAGUCGUAUAGACGGUGACGCUAUAUUAAAUCUUUUAAAGGGGAACCGCUUUUCAGGUAACUGAAAGUAAGAUUUAGAGAAAUUCUACUUGACCUAAGCCGCAAAGUUUACUUAUUUAUACGCCAUUACUAAUUA